GAGAGAGAAAAUGAGAAUUGAACUAAUUAGGAUGUUGAGUCUUCCUGUGUAAGAGCAGCAGGAGGAAAUAAAGAACAGCUAUGCCUUUUCAUUUUCAGUCCUGUGCUCUUCUGGAGUGUGUUAAAUAUAAAUCUUGAUUUUUUUAACUUUAUUUCCAGAUAGUUUAUCUUUUUUGUUGGAAUCCUUUCCUCCACUAUAUUUUGUAACUGGUUAUUAUUUAUAUAUAAGAAGGCUUUUGAUAUUUUAAAUAAUUUUAUAUCUCAUUAAAUUAUCUUACUAUUUAAAAUAGUUUUUCAGUUCUAAAUCACAAUGAGAUACCACUUCACACCCAGUAGGAAGGCUGUAAUAAAAAAGACGACAAUACAAGCAUUGGCAAGGAUUGGAACCCUCAUUCAUUGCCAGUGGGGAUGUAAAAUGUGUGGCCUCUUUGGAAAACAGUUUGGCAAUUCCUCAAAAAAUUAAAUAUUAGAGUUACCAUAGGACCCAGCAAUUCCACUCCUAGGCAUAUCCCCAAGAGAACUAAAAACAUGUCCACACAAAAAUGUGUAUAGGAAUAUCCAUAACAACAUUAUUUUUGUUGCGGUGGUUGAGACAGGGUCUCGCUGUGUUGUCCACGCUGGAGUGCAGUGGAGUGCAGUGGCAUGAUCACAGCUCACUGCAGCCUCGACCUCCUGAGCUGAAGGGAGCCUCCCAUCUCAGCCUCCCAAGUAGCUGGGACUACAGGCGUGCACCACCAUGCUUGGCUAAUUUUUGUAUUUUUUGUAGAGAAUGGGUUUCACCGUGUUACCCCAGGCUGGUCUCGAACUUCUGGGCUCGAGUGAUUCGCCUGCCUCAACCUUCCAAAGUGCUGGGAUUACAGGUGUGAACCACCAUGCCCGGCUAGCAUUGUUUUUAAUAACCAGAAAGUAAAAAUAAUCCAAAUGUCCAUCAAAUGAUGAUUGGAUACACAAGAUCUGGUAUACCUAUUUGAUGAAAUAUUAUUCAGCAAAAAAAGGAAUGAAGUAGUGAUUCAUGUUACAAUAUUAAUAAGCCUUGAAAACAUGCUAAAUGAAAGAAGCCAAUCACAAAAGACCACAUAUUGUAUGAUUCCAUUUAUAUGAAAUGUCUAAAAUAGGCAAAUCCAUAGAGACAGAAAGUAAAUUAGCGGUUGCCAGGAAUUGGGAAUGGGGAGAAUGUGAAGUGACUGACUGCUAAUGGGUAUGGGGUUUCUUUCUGGGAUGAUGAAAAUGUUCUGGAAGUAGUGGUGAUAGUUGCACAACUGUGAAUAUACAAAAAUCCAUUGUAUUAUACACUUUUCAAAUGGGUGAAUUUUAUGAUAAGUGAGUUAUAUCUCAAUUUAAAAAAGGAAAAAUAGUUUUUCAGUUGACUAAGUUGUGUUAUCUAGAAAUAGCCUCAAAUUAUAAGUUUACUUUUUCCUUUCUAAUUUUUAUGCUUACUAUUAUUUUUCUUGUAAUAGCAUUAGCUAGUACAGUAAUCCAGAAAAUGUUAAAUAAUUUUUCAUGAUAAUGGUGAUAGUGGACUUCUUUGACUUGUUCCUGGUCAUUAUAGAAAUAGAAAUGCUUCUUCACUAAGCAUGAUGCUGGCUUUUGGGGUUGGUGUGGCAUGAGCACACACAUGUUUUAUCACAUUAAGAAAAUACCUAUCCCUAUUUCUUUAUAAUCUAUGGAGAUUUUUCUUUGAUCUCAUAUUGCGUGAUAUAUUAACAGAUUUUGUAAUAUUUAACUCAUUUUACAUUCUUGAAAUGAUCCUACCUGGUUGUGGUGUAUACUUAUUUUAAUAUUCUAACAUUUUACAAUUUUUGCAUAGUUAGAAAAAUUGACAUUUAUUUAUCAUAAAAUGAAUAGCAUGUACAGCAUUGUUUGUAAUGGCUCCCAAAUUGGAAAUAAUCUAGAUGUUCAUCAAUAAUAGUCUGUUUAAAGAAAGUGUGGUAGAGACAUAGAAUUAAAUACAACGCAGACAUUUUAAAAAUGAGAAAUAUCUAUAUAUAUUGCUAUAUCCAAGAAUAUCCAAGAUUAUGUGAAAAAAGAAGAUAUGCAGAUGAAUAUUUUAAAUGAGAUUCCAUUUGUGUUAAAUAAUGCCCAUAGUAACAGUAGAAAUUAUGUAUGUUUACUCCUAUCACUGUGCAUGCAUAGAUGAUUUCCCGAAAGAUAUUCAAACAAUUAACAGUGGUUACUUUAGGGUAAUGCUGGUUUGGGGGAAGCAGUGGUAUGAAGGGAGGGAGCAUUCCUUUUUACUGUAUACCUGUAUGUAAUGUUUCAGGUUUUUUCUUAAUAAGCCAUCUUACCUUUAUAAUAAAAAGUUAAUUUUUAAAAAGUUAAAGGUCGGCCAGUUGCGGUGGCUCAUGCCUGUAAUCCCGGCACUUUGGGAGGCCGAGGCGGGUGGGAUCACCUAAGGUCGGGAGUUUGAGACCAGCCUGACCAACAUGGAGAAACCCCGUCUCUACUAAAAAUACAAAAUUAGCUGGGCGUGGUGGCGCAUACCUGUAAUCCCAGCUACUCGGGACACUGAGACAGGAGAAUCGUUUGAACCCAGGAAGUGGAGGUUGCAGUGAGCCAAGAAUGCACCACUGCACUCCAGCCUGGGCAACAAGAGCAAAACUCUGUCUCAAAAAAAAAAAAAAUUUUUUUUUAAUGCUAAAGAGGAAGGAAAAAAGAGUACCUACGUGUUCCUGGAUCACCUUCACACAGGUAGCUCUAAUACUGCUUAUCCAUUAAAGAUUUCUCAAACUUGGUUUUUAAAAAACAUUUAUUGACCCCUUAUGCUCUACUAUAUGCCUGAUUUCAGUGAUUAAUAAGCCCAUUAGGAGCCCAUCUGUUAAGCAUCUCUAGGAACUCCUCCUGAUACUAUUGGAGAAACAUAUAAACUAAAUAUCUCUUUUCAGAGUGAUUCCAGCAGGAAUCAUAUCCUGUAAGUCUUGUACACUGUGUUGAAGAGUGUGGACUUCACCCUAAAGGCAAUGGGAAGCCACUGAAUAGUUUUUAGUUGAGAAGCAGUAGGAUUAGAUGUGUGUUUUGUACCACUGUCUGGCUGCAAUGUGGAUCACGGGCUGGAAUAACACAAAACUGGAAGUUGGAAGACCAGCCCAAGGUAGUUGGAGCUAUCUAGGUAAUAAAAUGAUGAGGACUGGAACCAGGGAGGUGGUUUGGAGAGAAGGUUAAGUAUACAAACUGGAGAUGUUUCAAGGGAGGCCAAAUUGAUGGGCCUUGAUGAAUUAAGGGAUGUAAAGGAGAGAGGGAGCAGUCAGAAUGACUCCCAUUUCUAAUUAGGCAGAUGGGUGGGUGCUGAAGUAGUCACUGGGACCACAAACAAAGGAGUGAGAAGUGGGUUUGGGGAUGGGGGAUGGAAAUGAGCUCAGAUUUGCAUAUGUUGAGUUUGAGGUCUGUGGAACAUCCUGGCAGCUGGAUAUACAAUGCCAAGCACAUAGCAGGCUCUCAGUAAGUAUUUAUAGAAUGAAAGAAUAUCAGGAAGAGGAGAAUUAUAGGAAGGGAGAGGGAAAGAAAAGAAGAGAAGGUCUGGAGCUCAGGAGAGAGAUCUAUGCUUGGGAUUUAAAAUUCAUUAUCCUACAGAUGGCACUUGAAGCUCUGGACAAAGAUGAGAUUGUGUAGGGAGAGUGUAGAGUAAGAAAAGAUGGGCCAGGCGCGGUGGCUCACGCCUGUAAUCUCAACACUUUGGAAGGCUGAGGUGGGUGGAUUAUGUGAGGUCAGAAAUUCAAGACCCGGGGUGGAGCCAAGAUGGCCGAAUAGGAACAGCUCCAGUCUACAGCUCCCAGCGUUGAGUGACGCAGAAGAUGGGUGAUUUCUGCAUUUCCAACUGAGGUACCGGGUUCAUCUCACUGGGGAGUGUCGGAAAGUGGGUGCAGGACCGUGGGUGCAGCGCACUGAGCGUGAGCCGAAGCAGGGCGAGGCAUCGCCUCACCCGGGAAGCACAAGGGGUCAGGGAAUUCCCUUUCCUAGUCAAAGAAAGGGGUGACAGACGGCACCUGGAAAAUUGGGUCACUCCCACCCUAAUACUGUACUUUUCCAAUGGUCUUAGCAAAUGGCACACCAGGAGAUUAUAUCCCACACAUGGCUUGGAGGGUCCUAUGCCCAUGGAGCCUCGCUCAUUGCUAGCACAGCAGUCCGAGAUCAAACUGCAAGGCAGCAGCGAGGCUGGGGGAGGGGCGCCCGCCAUUGCCGAGGCUUGAGUAGGUAAACAAAGCAGCCCAGAAGCUCGAACUGGGUGGAGCCCACCGCAGCUCAAGGAGGCCUUCCUGCCUCUGUAGACUUCACCUCUGGGGGUAGGGCACAGCCAAACAAAAGACAGCAGAAUCCUCUGCAGACUUAAAUGUCCCUGUCUGACAGCCUUGAAGAGAGUAGUGGUUCUCCCAGUACGCAGCUGGAGAUCUGAGAACAGACAGACUGCCUGCCUCCUCAAGUGGGUCCCUGACCCCCG
rnacentral:lncRNA from 1 species